rnacentral:snoRNA from 1 species
AUGGAUGUGAUGAUUAUUUCCCCAGAUGAUCGAAGCUGAAAUUACUGAGCGCUUUUACUGUAUUUUCUCAUUAGUGGGAAAAUCCAAGCCAGAUAUUCUGAUCCAU